GGGUUUUGUGCAGAGUUCAAUGAAGAGGCUUGCGAAAUAAUUGCUAAUCCCUAUUUAGACUGCUCAUCAUUUAAGCCAUCCUGCGGCAGUCGUUACGAAUCAUCUAAGGCCUAUCUCUACAAGAACUGCUACAAUCACAGCAACAACGAUAUAGUAAUACAAGGAAUAAAGUAUGGCGAUAUUAAUGUCACUACACAAAUGCAACCAACAAGUGUUUCAACUGGAUUACUACCCUUGAGCCGUAGUACUAGUUUAGAGAGAUUUUCAAAACUUUUAGAACCGAUCCAAACAAUAAUUAUUGUAUGCAUUGCAAUCUUGACGAUUGUUACACUUCUGCUGUUCUGGAAGUUGCCAAAAUUGUUUCAGUA